CCAUGGUGGCGUCCGCCUGUUCUCCCCGCUGCCUGCUCUCCUCCGCAUGCCGCGCCGUCGCACGACGCCUCCUCCAUGUUGCCACGAUGUCGCUCAGCGCCUCCUCCUCCACCCCUCUGCCUCGCCCCGCCGCCUCCUCGCCGCACGACGGCCUCGCCUCGCCAGCAACCCCGCCGGUCUUACCUAGAUAAACUCUGCCGCUGCCAUCCCCAUGUCCCAGCGCAGAUCUAGACGGGAGCUAGAGGGGCAUGCUGGACACGAUGCGGGAGCGGGCAUAUCAUAGCGGACCGAGAUCCAGUGCGUCUACGUGCCCGCCGUCAUCGUUGCCCCCCGUGCUUGGCUCCCACACUCGCUCCAGGUAGGUGCUCGCAGCUCGCCUACUGCUCGGCUGCUCCAGGUACUUGACGGACUCAGGUAGUCGUAAUUGGAUGUCAGCUUCUUAAUCAGUACUCAUAGUUUUUGUGUACCUAUCAUUUGUCAAUUGAAGUGGAAAUGAAAUUCUAGUCUUAUUUUACUAAAUUGUGAGAUUCAGGAUCUGGUUGAUAUUUUGAGAGUUUUUACCAUUUAGGUUUUUGGUAACGCACAUCAGGAAUGCACACUUUAAUUUAUUUUAAGUGUGUACCUAUCAUUUGUUGUGUUUUAACAUAUCUUGCCACUACUCUGUAGUUAAAGCACAACGUGAGGCUGCAGCAGAAGCUUGAGGAAUGCAGGGGCUAAUAAUAGUACUCAUCAACCAAAAAUACCGGCGUCGUCAACCAUGCUUUGAACUUUUGGAGAUCAAGCUGUACGGUUGUACCAUGAAGAUUUUUGAUGCAGUUUAAGGAUUCAAGUGGCGAUUGCAACCCAAAACAUUGCAAAGAAUCUACUACCAGAGGCUUCAUUAUGCACACCUUUUCUUUUUACAAAAUGGAGUCUGAUCUGCUGUCAUCACAUCACCAGGUUUGAUUCCUUUUGUGACACAUUAAGUGGCCUCACAGGUUGGUUGCACGUUUCCCUCUAUUAUGUAAGUAGUAACCCAUAGUGCCGCUUUUUUCCUUGGUGCUAAUAGAAACAAAUUCUCAAACAUAGUACACAAGAAAUAUUCAAUGGCAGGAACACCAGUACGAUAUUAUGCAUAUAUAAUCAUGAACAUACUACAAUAUUUGUUUCCUCAGGUUCUGUGCCCAGUUCAAUCACCGCUCCACACAGUAGGGUUAACCGAAGAUUCUCUUAGGUUCUGGGCCUCUGGACUGUACAAAAACACCAUGAGAAAACAAAACACCAUGAGAAAACUCUGUUAGAGCCAGCACACCUGUAGACUGUGAACCCAAGUAGCAGAACAUGACAAUUUUUUGUGAAAUCGGUCACUCCAUCUAACCACACUGAUUAAUGUGUUUAUCCAAGAAUAGUAUUCAGUAGAAUAGCAGACAAGAAUGGUAAAUCUCGACAGAUAGGAGAGAAAUUGUGUAGUAAGGCAGCAAAGCGAAGCUGGGACUGAACCUGGAGACCAUAUCGGAUGACGCCGAUCUGCUCAACACCCUUGAACGGCUCCGGGAGCAGCGGGAACAGGUUUCGCCCUCGUGCCACCAGGUUUUGCCGUCCUGUUGCUGGUUGGCGAGCCGAUACUUCCCGUCGGCCUUGUUGGUAUCGGAAACGCUGGAGAAGAGCUACGCCGCAGGCAUGAAGUCCUUCCCGGUGACCAGGUAUCCGUCGGGGACUCGAACGUCCACCAUACGACCGUGUCGUCAGCGUGGAACAACACAAAGUUGUCGUCAUCUCGCAGGGCGCCCGCAACUCAGGCAGAUCUGAUUGGGCGACCAGGUGAAAGGAGGGGCGGCCACCCACUCGACGGUGCGGUGCAGGGUGGCAAGGGAGCCGGCAGGGAGGCGUCAACGCGGUGCAUGGCCGUGAGGGAACCGUCUAGGGAGGCGACGAUGCGAUGCAGGGAUCGAGGCCGCCGUGCAGGGAGGCGACGGGGCUGCUGAGCUUCGUCUGGGGCGGUGGCGAGGAAAGGCAGGGAGAGGGGCGAGGGAGACGAUUAGGUUUAGUUUCCUUUUAUUCAAAUUGAUUAGAUGGUUAGAUUAGCGUGAUUUGAGGGCCUGCGGAGGUGGGAUGGAGAGUUUCAUGUUUUCAUCUGGUGGAGUAUGGUCAGUCCAUGUAAACUGCUAAGCGCACA